rnacentral:rRNA from 1 species
CAGUAUUAUAUGCUGAUGUUAAAGAUUAAGCCAUGCAUGUGUAAGUUUAAAGACCAAGUAGGAUGAAACUGCGGACGGCUCAUUAUAACAGUAAUAGUUUCUUUGGUUAGUAGGUACAAGGAUAACUUUGUGAAUGAUAAAGCUAAUACUUGAGACGAUCCGGGGAGUAUUUAUACUUUUCGGCCGAUGGCCGCAAGGUUGGCGAGAAAUGACAUUUUUUUGUGAAAAAGGAUGCCACGACAAUUGAGGAAAGCGACGCUUUUUACAAGUAACCAAUGGGAAUUUCUGAUCUAUCAAUUAGUUGGUAGUAUCGAGGACUACCAAGAUUAUAACGGAUAACGAGGAAUUGGGGUUCGACAUCGGAGAGGGAGCUUUACAGAUGGCUACCACUUCUAAGGAAGGCAGCAGGCGCGUAAAUUACCCACUUUCGACAUGAAGAGGUAGUGACGACAAAUAACUC